GAUCAUUGGUGGUACUACUGUGUGAAUUGUAAGACAAUGAAAUUUUUUGUGUUUGAUUCCCUUGAACAUAGUAGAAAGAACCGCACAAGGAUAGACAACUGUAUUACAACAAGCCAUCUUUUGAAGUGCAGUCUGUGGACACUCCAAUUCAACCUAACGGAGAUGUGGGAUGGUGUAAGCAAAUUUGAUGGCAAAGCUCUACCUUACUACAGUACUG